GAUGAAGAACGUAGCGAAAUGCGAUACUUGGUGUGAAUUGCAGAAUCCCGUGAACCAUCGAGUCUUUGAACGCAAGUUGCGCCCGAAGCCAUUAGGCCGAGGGCACGCCUGCCUGGGCGUCACACGUCGUUGCCCCCCCAUCUACUCCUUCGGGAUUGCGGGGGGCGGAUGAUGGCCUCUCGUGCGCCUCGUCGCGCGGUUGGCCUAAAUGCCAAGUCCUCGGCGACGCACGCCACGACAAUCGGUGGUUGCGAAACCUCGGUUGCCUGUCGUGUGCGGUCGUCGCGCAUCGAGGGCUCGAAAAAAUUGCCGAGUUCCGGCUCGGCUUUCAACGCGACCCCAGGUCAGGCGGGGUUACCCGCUGAAUUUAAGCAUAUCAAUAAGCGGAGGA
rnacentral:misc_RNA from 1 species